UAACACAGUUAUUGAUUGUUUAUGCAAAGAGAAGUUGGUUGAUCAUGCUUUAGAUCUUCUUGGUGAAAUGUGUAACAGAGGCAUACUGCCGGAUGUAAUGACCUACACUUCGUUAAUUCAGGGUU
rnacentral:miRNA from 1 species